GCCAGGUGCAGUGGCGCACGCUUAUAAUUCCAGCAGCUCUGGAGGCUGAGGCAGGAGGAUUGAGAGUUCAGAGCCAGCCUCAGUGAGGCUCUAAGCAACUCAGUGAGACCCUGUCUCUA
rnacentral:sRNA from 1 species